GCUGGAAAUUGUUUGUCAGCUGAAGGGGCAUGAGACCGGGAACGUGUGUCUGCUGGAGCCGUGGACACUGAAGCCCGAUUGCCCCGGAGUGAGCGCCGAGGGGGAGGCCUAGAAAUCGGGGAGGCAGGUGGUCUUGUCAGGGCGUCUGGCUGUAGUGGUUAGGGAGAGAUAGGGGGCCACAACUGAGAUGGAGCGAGUGGAGGCUGAGCUCAGGAGGAUUCUUAGGAUGGGAGGGACUGGAGCUUGUCCCAAUGCUGGGCGGGCGGGCGGGCAGAAUCCUGAGAGGGACUGGAGAGGGGCUGUUAACCGCGUCAGGUUCCGAGAAGCAGGGAGGGGUGGAAGGGGUGGUCUGGGGUGGGAGGAAGCAGAGCGGGGAUGCCGAUGGAGAUGGGGUUCGGGGCUGGCGAGGGAGCUGAGGGAGUUCCCAUCUUUGGGCUUCAGCUUUUUCUGAAGGCGCAGGUUGGGUGGUGCAGAGGUGACGGAGGUGGAAGAGGGGCUGAGUAGCAGAGGGAGCCAAGCAGUGAGAUGCAGUAGGAUCGCUGGACAGUCUUGAGGGCUGGUUUGUAGCUGGUGCUACCUAGUCUGCCUUUCUAACAAGCCAGUCUUAUUUGUUUAAUUAACCUGUGGCCUGUGGUCUAGCAGGAGGUAAUGUGCUGAAUGCUUUUUCUUUAGAUAAAUGUUAAUUUUCUAGGGAAGUCCUAAAUUCACACCCUUUUUCCUCCGUGAGUUCCAGGGUUGGUUUGAGCCACCUGGAAGCAAGCUCGGAAGGAUGGGGCAGUUUUGUUGCGGCUGAGACUUUUUUUCGGUCUGAGAAGCCCUCCUCUCCCUUCCUGGCAGGGAAAUGCAGGAAGGAAGCAUCAAGAAACUAUUGAGAUUGGCUGGUCAGUCAGCUUUAAGGUGUGGCUUUUUACAGUUUUUUCCAAACAAGUUCUUAGGGCCCCCAGACACCCAUAGUAUAAAAUGUGAACACACGUCCUUUCUGUGGGCAGAUAUGUUACUUUGGAUGCUCCGUAUCUUUAGUGCAGUCUAUUCCCAGUGGAUUUGAUGGUAAUAUUGACAUCAGCUGUGGUGUUUGUCAAAAGCCCUGUGUUGUCACCUCUCUCAUUCCCCCUCGCUGACCGUAAAGGCGAGGUUGGGAGCAUGGGGUGUUGUUGCUUUCUAGUCCCAGGACCCGCCCCCCACCAUGGAGUUGGCCGUGGCUGUCCUGAAGGACCUACUCCGCUAUGCGGCCCAGCUUCCUACACUCUUCCGGGACAUCUCCAUGAACCACCUCCCUGGCCUUCUCACCUCCCUGCUGGGCCUCAGACCGGAGUGUGAACUCUCUGCACUGGAAGGAAUGAAGGCUUGUAUGACGUAUUUUCCCCGGGCGUGUGGAUCUCUCAAACUGUAAUUAUGCCACCUCGUGGCCUUAAAUGCAUUCUCACUUAAUUGUCAUAGAUACAUUGAAAUUAAGUAACUUGCUUAAGGUCUGAUGCCAAAGCCAGGCUCUUACCCCUGGAUGCCUUCCUUUUUCUGCCCUGCCUUCUCUGUACCUCUAGAAUGCCUGCCCAUUUUUUAUUUUGUUUUAUUUUGUUCCUAAAGCUCUUGUAAUUUCCUCCGGGAAGGCUUCCUGAUUUACUUCUUCCCUAGAUCAACUUCUCCAGCACUUUCUGCGCCUUAUAUUCCUGACUAAUUUCCCUCCAUGACUUCCCUACCCUGUCCCCCGAAUUGUCAUGAUCAAUACAGAGGUGGCUGUGCAGCGGGGCCUUAGCAGGUCAGAGAGGCAGGGUGGAGAUGGGUCAGGUGUGGGAGGAGGGAGGUCAGUGAGAAAAUCUGAGUUUUGUUUUCAAGGAGAUU
rnacentral:lncRNA from 1 species